GUGUAUAAGAGCCAGGUGAAUCAUCGAAUCUUUGAACGCACAUUGCGCCCCUUGGUAUUCCAUGGGGCAUGCCUGUUCGAGCGUCAUUUGUACCCUCAAGCUCUGCUUGGUGUUGGGUGUUUGUCCCGCUUUUCGCGUGGACUCGCCUUAAAACAAUUGGCAGCCGGCAUAUUGGCCUGGAGCGCAGCACAUUUUGCGCCUCUUGUCAUGAUUGUUGGCAUCCAUCAAGACUAUUUUUUACUCUUGACCUCGGAUCAGGUAGGGAUACCCGCUGAACUUAAGCAUAUCAAUAAGCGGAGG
rnacentral:misc_RNA from 1 species